GCGCUCGGAAGCCCGCCAUCGUAGGUAUUGAAAUUUGAAGGUACUCUCAUCAUGACCUGAAGCUGCUGAGGAAGUGGAUCACUGCCACAAGACGUCAGGGAGAAAAGCAAAGGGCAUGGAAGCCCUCUCAGAGUGCACUUCCGUGCAGUGACCACUUCAUGGAGGCUGAUUUUGAGCCAUGGUGAACGCAGAAUGCUGCGUGAGGAAAGCAUCCCAUCAUGGUUCAUGUUUCCCGAGCAGACAAAGCCAGUGGCACGCAAAAAUCCCCAAAAGCGUGUCGGCCCAUGCAGAACUCCACCCAAGCCAAAGCAUGUCAGGCGCCUGCUUCUCAGGCAGCCACACCAGCCCGCUCCAGAGGAGACACAGGUGCGGCCUGCCCCAGAGGAGGUGCUGCUGCAGCCUGCUCCAGAGGAGGCACUGGUACAGCCUGUCUCAAAGCUGCAACAGCUUCAGCCUGCACCAGAGCAGCAACUGCUACAGCACACCCCAGUGAAGCUCCAACAUCACCCAGGCGGCCCAGAGCAUAGCUAUAGCGCAAGUGCAACAACUCGACACAUUUCCAGUCCACUGCAAAAGAUGGCUGCAAAGGUUCGAAAAUUGCGCUACGAGCAGAAGAAGCUACGACAGAAGCUGCAGAGGCGCGACAGGCGGCUCAAGUGCCUCAAAAGUACUCUGGACGCCCUCAAAGAAAGCCGGAUCGUCGAUGCCGAGCUUCUCGAGGUGAUCCGAUCUCGAUUUGAAAACCCCAUGGUGUCAGUGCUUUUCACCAACGAAUUUGUCAAUGGUGGCAGGAAGAAGCGAAGUGGCCAGAGGUAUUCAAAAGAAAUCAGGAAGCUCUUCCUCACCUUCCACUACUAUUCCCCGAGAGCAUAUAGGUUCCUCUCAAAGAACUUUUCUCUGCCGGAUGCAACAUCGCUACGAGAGUGGGCGAGAAGUGUCAGCUGUUAGGUGGGCGUACUCCACGAGGUGCGACAGACGCUGUGCUGUGAAGUGACAACCAAGAAAAUUGACCCCAACUGCUGCUUGAUGGUUGAUGAGAUGGCGAUCCGGAAGGCGGAGGUAUACUCGCAACCCAAAGACAAGUUCGUUGGUCAUGUUGAUCUGGGUGCAGGGGACGUGGAGGACACGAGACAUGCAACAAAUGCCCUAGUGUUCACGGCCGUUGGUUUCAAAGGUGUGUGGCGCCAUCCUGUCGCCUACUUUCUUACAGACCACAUUUCAAGUGAGACUCAGACAGAACUGGCCAAGACUGUCCUGUGUACUUUAAGCGAUGCAGGACUGAAGGUGCGAGCGUUCGUGGCCGAUGGACUCCAUGCCAACCUGUCCAUGUUCAGCCACUUGGGCGUUCAGAACCUGCAGCCAAAACAACUUCAGCUUCCCAUUGUUCCUAGCUACUUCCUGCAUCCUGCAACCAACCAGAAGGUGUAUGUUCUUCCGGAUGUUGUGCACAUGCUGAAACUGUUGCGAAACGUCCUUGGUGAAUACAAGAGUCUUCAACUGGAUGGUGAAGAGGUAUCCAGGAAGUAUAUUCAGGCGCUGUGCGGCCUGCAGCACAGCGAGGGUAUCCGGGCAGCCAACAAGCUCUCGCCUGCACAUCCAGUUCAAAAAGAACAAAAUGAAAGUUAAGCUUGCUGCCCAGCUGUUCAGCAGCUCGGUGGGCAAAGCUCUGCUGUAUCUAGAAGAGUUGAGCCACCAUUUCAUCGGAGCGCGGGCAACGGCGCGCUUCAUCCUGCUUGUUGAUCAGGCAUUCGACUACCUCAACAGCAGCAACCCCUACGGGAAGGGCUUCAAGACUCAUGUAGCUGCCAACAGCUUGAUGCGCCGACGUGAGUUUCUGGCCGACUUCAGUUCCGUGCUGUUCCGGCUGCAGACAGCAUCAGGCGAACCGGUACUGCAGACGCGACGCUUCACCCCUGUCCUGGGUCUCUGUCUCGCGACGCAGACCGUCAUGGACGUCGGUGAGACUAAAGGAGGAGGAGGGGUUCGUCUAUGUACUGCUGGAGGAGGGGUUCGUCUAUGUAUUGCCAUACAAGAUGUCCCAAGACCACCUAGAGCUACUGUUCAGCCGGAUCCGACGUAUGGGCGGCUUCAACAACAACCCAAACGUGGCCCAACUGCAACAUGCCAUGCGCAGACUCAUACUGCACAACUUCAUAUCGCCAUCUGCCACCGGGAGCUGCACGUCACGGGAUGACGGUGACGACGGCCUGCUCCAGAUCCGUCGUCCAAAACGGCAGCGGCCGACGCUCAGCGAGAGAAACCCCAUGCCGGCGGUCGUGCAGCAUCUCCUCACGCCAGAGGACACCGGCUCGGGGUUCGUUGACAACUGUGUUGGCUACAUCUCCGGCUAUGUGUGCCGCAAGCUGGUGGAAACGGGCGCGAUCGGGUGUGGUGAGUGCAUUGGUGCACUUCUGUGCAGCGAGGACGACCCUCCAUCGCAUGAAGUGAUGGGUCUCGUAAAAGUGCGGGACAACGGCGGGCUGCUCAUCCCGUCAGCAUCGACGUACGCGAUCGUCACGACAACUGAACGGCAUUUGACCGCUUUGCAUAGGUGUGGUAAGAUGGACCUAGCGAAAGUGUCACUGAGUAUCCAGUGCAGUGUCAUGGCGCAGUUAAUGACUGAACGCAGCCACGAACUGUUCCCUGGUGUGGAAGAUCACAUGUUCGAGCCGCGAGCGGAUGAGUGCCAUGCUGUGGUAAUGGUAAAGCAGAUCGUGGCCAGGUAUCUGCGUGUCCGCCUCCAUGCCUAUGGACAAAAUGCUACAGUGAGUGGAAUGUUCCGUACCCAUGUGAGGCACAACCUGUACAAGCAGGUGCUCUUUGCACACCAGUAGUCAAAUCCAUCAGUAAAUACCUGUGCUGGUGACCGCAAGUAGAUUUACUUCUUACGUAGUUUUGGGGCUGUAAGGUGCGUGGACAUGCAAGUCCUGUGCAUUAGCAUUGGUAGAAGUACGGUGUACGUACUCCGAACAGCAUAAUAUACCAUGCGUAGCUUUGGGGCUAUAAUGUGUGUCGACGUGUAAGUCCUGUGCACUAACGUUGUCAAUAGUACGGUGUACAUAUUCUGAAUAGCAUGAUAUAUUAUGCGCAUAUCUCGGUGCCUACACAGCUCGCAGGAGUACCGAACCGACGGUGCUGGACGUAGCUUAUAUUCUUGCAACGUACCAAAUCGAGACGUGAGCUCUGGUCUUAUCUGAGUGUGAAUGGGGACAGACAUAUUCUCUGACGCAGGUGAACAGCAUACAUGCAGUGCAUAAAAAGGGAUAACCAUAGCCUGAACUCCAGCAACCCAUCGGGGCAGUUACUUCGCCCAUAAAAAAGACGUAAGAAUGUCCUCCGUCUCCCAACAGGCUGGUGCAAAAGAUGACAUUGUCGUCAGUCAAAGUGCCGCCUGCGAAAAGAUUCGUGCUUUCCAACGAUUUUGGGUCGUCGAUCCGACCUGGGAGAACCCAACUGUCGAAUACAUUUAAAGCUGGA
rnacentral:lncRNA from 1 species